GAUGAACGCUAGCGGCAGGCUUAAUACAUGCAAGUCGAGGGGCAGCACGGUUAGCAAUAACUGGUGGCGACCGGCGCACGGGUGCGUAACACGUAUACAAUCUACCUUAAACAGGGGAUAGCCUUUCGAAAGAGAGAUUAAUACCCCGUAGUAAAUUGAACGGCAUCGUUUGAUUUUGAAAGCUCCGGCGGUUUGAGAUGAGUAUGCGUCUGAUUAGCUAGUUGGUGAGGUAACGGCUCACCAAGGCGACGAUCAGUAGGGGAUCUGAGAGGACUAACCCCCACACUGGUACUGAGACACGGACCAGACUCCUACGGGAGGCAGCAGUAAGGAAUAUUGGUCAAUGGAGGCAACUCUGAACCAGCCAUGCCGCGUGCAGGAUGACGGCCCUAUGGGUUGUAAACUGCUUUUAUACAAGAGAAAACCCUGGUACGUGUACCAGGUUGAUAGUAUUGUAAGAAUAAGCAUCGGCUAACUUCGUGCCAGCAGCCGCGGUAAU
rnacentral:rRNA from 1 species